UAAGGAAUAUUGGUCAAUGGACGCAAGUCUGAACCAGCCAUGCCGCGUGAAGGAUGAAGGUCCUCUGGAUUGUAAACUUCUUUUAUGUGGGAAGAAACCUGUGUAUUCUUACGCAGUUGACGGUACCAUAGGAAUAAGCACCGGCUAACUCCGUGCCAGCAGCCGCGGUAAUACGGAGGGUGCAAGCGUUAUCCGGAUUCACUGGGUUUAAAGGGUGCGUAGGCGGGCAGGUAAGUCAGUGGUGAAAUCUCUGGGCUUAACCCAGAAACUGCCGUUGAUACUAUUUGUCUUGAAUACUCGGGAGGUGAGCGGAAUAUGUCAUGUAGCGGUGAAAUGCUUAGAUAUGACAUAGAACACCAAUUGCGAAGGCAGCUCACUACAGAGUCAUUGACGCUGAGGC
rnacentral:rRNA from 1 species